CUCGGAUUUCUGUAGUUCCCAGAUGCACAGGGGUAGUAGGACGAGAAGCACAACCAGAAAGUAUAGAAGAACGACCAGAGGCCGAAUCCAUCUCCUCCAGUUGCCACAAGUACAAGGCAUAUUUUUAAUGAUCUAUCUGCUGCCUUCGACACCGUCAGAUCCUCCUCUCCACCCUCUCGCUGCUGGGCCUCUCAGGCUCUACACACUCUUGGAUUACAUCCUAUCUGGCAGGCUGCUCCUACCAGGUGGCGACAAGCAUCUCGGCGUGCCUGGCAGAUAUCUCAGCUUGGAUGUCGGCCCACCAUUUCAAGCUCAAAGUAGACAUGACGGAGAUCUUAAGAUGAAUGCAACCACUGUAAGUCGCUCUGGAUAAGAGCGUCUGCUAAAUGACUAAAAUGCUAAAAUGACAAUCUUGAUUUAAAAAAAGAUAUCGGUCACAAUGUUUAGGUUGUCUAAGAAGAUUACAUGGUGUUCACUUUAAAUGUCCAACACAACCUUGUAACUAAAGCCAUUGCACUGAUCUCAAGCAAAGAGUUGAGAUCCUGCAGAUUUGAUUAAAGUCGUUCUCCAUUCUUCUUUUCACCAAAUUUUUCACCUGUUUACUUAACAAAAGGCACAUCUCAAUAGGUGGUCCAGGAAUCCUCUUUUGUUCUCUAUGGCUCCUCAAGAAAGGGGAGAGGCCAAUGACAUCACAUCGCCCCAUCAGGCCAACUCCUUGAAGUUUUAAAUUUUGUCUAGAAAACACUAUAUUUCUCAAUGUGUACUUUACUGUAUUUAUACUUGGGAUAUAGCUUUUCAACAGUAAACAUUCUGAAAUCGCUGGAGGACGUCUUUAAGUUAACAAGACAAGUUAUGUUUAACAGCUCCUCUAUUUGGGAGCUCUGAUAACAGUCACUCAUAUGGGCUGGCUUGAUUACGUUCCCUCUCUCCAAGCAAUUCAGUUCACAUCCUCUCAGUUGACAUGGUAACCCUGAGGGCGGUGUUGCCAAGCAACAAGCAAGCAGGUCACAGUGCACUUCAAAUCACUCCCAGACCGGCUUGUGUUUCCUUCCCACAGACACUAAGAAAAUAAAAACGAGUCCCCUUAUCCUCUCAGAAAGAGAAGAGUAUUUCUAUGACAGUACAAAGUUCAUGACUCCUCAGUAAAGCAACGCGAGAGGUCAUCCAAAGUAAUUAUAUGUCAUGCAUAUCAAUGUAAACUGUAUAACUCCUUAGUAAUGCCAUGUUAAAUGUUCUCAUGCUUACAAAUGCCGACGUUAGUCUCUCCUUAGUAAAUG